UACGGAGGGGGCAAGCGUUACUCGGAAUUACUGGGCGUAAAGCGCACGUAGGCGGAUCUGCAAGUCGGGGGUGAAAUCCCGAGGCUCAACCUCGGAACUGCCUUCGAUACUGCGGGUCUCGAGUCCGGGAGAGGUGAGUGGAAUUCCUAGUGUAGAGGUGAAAUUCGUAGAUAUUAGGAAGAACACCAGUGGCGAAGGCGGCUCACUGGCCCGGUACUGACGCUGAGGCGCGAAAGCGUGGGGAGCAA
rnacentral:rRNA from 1 species